CCAGAAUGCUGCAUUUCUAACACUCUCCCAGAUGGUGCCAAUGUUCCUCAUCCACAGACCACAGCUGAAGUAGCAACUAUGUAAACCUCAGGCUACUCAUCACAGUGCAGAGUGAUUUCACCUAAAGGCACAACAGCAGCUGAUUGCCACAAUACAAACAAGAGCCGCCACUUACUGACAGCAGCUACGUGCCAGAUUUGGGUGACAUGCCCUCCCACAGACCUAUUCUUGACAAGUGGGAAUUGCCUGAUGUGACUGGUGUGGAUUAAAUGUGUAGAAGUAGUAUAAACAAAGGACCAUUGUAUCUGCUAGUCCUUCUGCUGAAAAGGCCCAUUGCCCAGCCUCUUCUCAGGUCUCAGUUCAAAGAAGGAAAGCCUCAAAGAAGCCUUCCUUGAUCAUCCUGCUCUCUAUCUCAGCCACCUCCACAGCUCUUACCAAACUCCAUAUCUACUGUGUCUUGUUAUUUGUUAUCCCUCUGUCCCACUGGUUAUAAACUCUAUUAUAGCUGUCUGCAUUGUUUAUCACUGUGUCCCCACUACUUAGGAACAGUCCUUGGAACAAAACUGAUGAUAAAAAAUAAAGUGUUCAAUGAAUGAAUAAAUAUUUGAUUUUCUAUGCUUUUGGAGAGUAAUUUGUGGCUCCAGUUCUGAGAUUAUUUUUUAUCUUUAUCUAACUUAAG
rnacentral:lncRNA from 10 species